GAUGUAUUUGACUUGUUUUCCAUGCAUGUGAUGAGUGACCUUUUUUUGUAUAAAGCACAAAAUCACGCGCCAUUAAAGUCAAGUAGAUUUUUUUUGCCACUGUCUUCCCUGAGGGGAGUAUUUGGCCUGUAGUCAGAUUUCUCCUGAAUUUUAGGAAGAUUUCUGCUGUGUCUCUUGAGGACAAGGGUGCUCCCUAAUGGAGAAAAUACUUUGCUAUAUGGAUUCCUAUUAUUAAUACAUAGUCCUGUGUAUUAUUCAUGAUGUAUCUGCAGUUCUGCUUGAGAGCUCAAGUCAUCGGCAUAAGCUUCUUUGGCUGCAUUUAUUAUGCUGGGCAAGUGCAACUCUCUAGUCCUGGUUCUCCAUUUGUCCAAUUUUGGAGACCUGCUAGAGGACACCUCUGCCUUUUACAUCAGCCUGUUAUAUCUCCCCUCAGUGGAAACCAGGGCACACGGAGUGGAGGGCCAGGGACAGAAGGGAGAUUAGAAAAGGAGAGAUCCUAUAGAUGCUAUAUUCAGAUGCUCUAUUUGUAGGCAGUCAAGACAAAGGUUUGCAUCUGGAUCUGGGAAAUGAAAAUGCUCUUUGGUCCUGCAUCAUAUACUGCGAAAUGUAGUAUGAUCCUUUUUCCGUGUCUUCUUGCCCCAUGUAUUUUACAACUGAAGCAUAAUAUUUUAGUUCAGUUCAAUCAAAUUUUACCUUGAAAUGAAUUUCAAUAUGAAGGUAUGAAGGAAGGCUGCAAAAGUUGCAUUUCAUGCUUAAGUUUUCAAAAAGAAUUCUGUGUUAAGUCUGCACAUAGAGAAACUAAAGAUCUAAAUACGAUAAUCAAAAGUUGUAGGUUUUAUACAAGAAUAUUCUGUUAUGUUUUCUGACCUUUUGAGGCAUGUUUUCUGACCUAUAAAUCUCUUCCUCUUUUUCUGUUUUGGGGGCUUAGCUGAGAGUGGGGAUUUUGGGUUUUCUUUUUUUUUUUUUCUUCUAUUUUUUUUGGCAGCUUUGCAAACUUGCCCUGAUAACCUGACUUUCAAAUCAGUGUAGCUCUGCAUUAGGAAAGUAGCAUAUUUCUGUAGAAGAUAUCUAAAAAGAAAAGAGUAACUGCACACUUUACUGAAGAUGUAUUUGCUCUGGACUGCCUACAUGAAAAAAAAAAAAGUUUGAAAAACUUUAUUUUGGUUGGAAAAGUAAGCAGACAUGACCAAAUACAUAGAAACUGCUAUUUUUAUAUUCCCUUUUCUGACCAUAACCACAGCUGGAUCUGUUUUUCAGAUGUAACUUGCUAUUCAGAAAUGCUAGAUAUUCACAGUUUUGGCAGGAAUCUUCACACACACACACACACAGAGUAAUACCAAGUCACAAUUAGCUUUAAAGAAAGCUUUUCUCAAUGAACCAGCAUCUGUCAUAUGAAUCCCCUCCUGUGUUUGAAAUAAACCUUUUUACUUCUUGAUUUAUCUGGUAUAGGUAUCACUGUUAAGGUCCUAUUGGAUAAUAAGCCCAAUAAAAUAACAAGUGCAUGUAGUGAACGUUGUUCCACUCUGAGUUGAUUGAUAAAAAAUUCACAGGCUGCCUGAGAAGUUUAAACCAAGCAAUUGUGCUUCACAUUUCAAGCAGGAUAAAUUUUUAUUGUCCUUUUUUAUGAACUGAGCUUGAGACUAUGAAGGCAAAAGUCUGAGGUAUGGACUGUGAGAUUCGACACUGCUGGGAAAGGCAAAGUUUAAGCAGAGCUAUAGCACAUGCCAGGUGUCAAUACUCAUUGAGGCACCUCAGCCAGAGCCCCAGCUGGACACAUGGCACCUUCCAGCCUAACCCCCAAGCCUUCUUCACACAGACAGAAAGAGGCAAAUAGGGUGGGAAGGCUGAAAGGAAGAGGGGGAAGAAGGGGAUAACAAGAUCCAAGCACAGGGAUUAAUGUGUAGUUGAAAGCAGAAGCUCAGAAACUCCCCAGUCCACCAUUUCAGAUUCAGCCAAAAGGAUUUUGCGUGUCAUCAUACUAAAUGCUGCCGAUCUGAACUGCUAGUCCCAGAGGGCAAAUUCACCACACCAGUCAAGUGUUUAGAGCCCCAUGCAGUGAAGCGGGAGAGCGUGGCACCUCAGAUGAGACUUCUUGUUGAUUAGCCACCAGGGAAACCCAAGGAUGAAGACAAGAGCCGCACCUCCCUCUGCAAUGUAGACACUAACCUACAGUCCUGAGGAGGUCACCUCUGCCAACACAGCAUUCGCAGCCUACCAAGGUUCCGAUGUAAACAGCUAAACUAAAAAAUGAGAUAAAUCAGCUGGAUAAGGAAUUUUCAAAUAUACUGGUUUACACCAGAAUGACUGCUGAAAUAUGAAGUUACAACAGAACCAGAGAAAAUACUUCUUCAAAGUGCAAUAGAUUUUCAAAGAAAAUUUUUAAGGACGUAAAGGAAUAAUAACAGCUUGAAAUAUUCUAUCACUUACAACAGUGUAUCCAUCUAGUACAGGCAAAGCAUUGGCACAAUAAAGAGCAGCCUAUUAAAUCUUUAUUUCCAAGGCUCACCUGUUACAAGGAAGUUAAAAAAAGGUGAAGGUUAACAACGGAGACUAGCUUUUAUACUGAUCACAAAGAUCACAUCUGAAGGUGUUACAGUUGGGAGCAGGCAUUACAGAGGGACACAUCAGGAAUAUGCCCCCCAGUCUAUGAUAUUGUACAAGCUCUGUAACAUCCUGCAGGCCAAAAAGCAGUAAUUGUUGCAACAAAAUUGUUGUAAUUCCAAAGAUUUCUAAAUUUUGCUUGUAGCCAUUCUGUCUUUUACAUAGAAGCUUUGGUUCAGAAAAACAUGUAAAAGUCUACUUGACAUCCUAAUUCUCACGAAUGUUCAUUCCACUAUGUUUUAGAAAAUGUAUAACACAAGUGAGUUUAGGUUGGCCCUAAACUUCAUUCUUCAUUAUCAAUAAUAUAAACUAGUUGUUUUUCUGUGUGACACAUUUAAAGAGGUAAUAAAACAUGCUCACAGAUUUAAA